rnacentral:rRNA from 1 species
AGCGAACGCUGGCGGCGUGCCUAACACAUGCAAGUCGAACGUGAACGGGGGCAACCCCUAGUAAAGUGGCGUACGGGUGAAUAACGCGUAGGCAAUCUACCCCAAAGUCUGGAAUAACCUGCCGAAAGGCGGGCUAAUACUGGAUAGAGCGACGGAAUCCGUAAUUGGGUUUUUCGGGAAAGGGAGGGAGCAAUCCCCCUUGCUUUGGGAUGGGCCUGCGUCCCAUCAGCUAGUUGGUAAGGUAACGGCUUACCAAGGCGAUGACGGGUAGCUGGUCUGAGAGGGUGAUCAGGCACACUGGAACUGAAACACGGUCCAGACUCCUACGGGAGGCAGCAGUGGGGAAUCUUGCGCAAUGGACGAAAGUCUGACGCAGCCACGCCGCGUGAGUGAAGAAGGCCUUCGGGUUGUAAAGCUCUGUCGGAGGGGACGAAAAUGCUUAGGGUUCACAGCCCUAGGAACUGACGGUACCCUUAAAGGAAGCACCGGCUAACUACGUGCCAGCCGCCGCCGUAA